AAAAAAAAAAAGGAGAGAGAUGAUUUUCAUCUUAAAUUCUGCUGAGAAUGUGAAAAAUCUGAAGGAGACUGCAACUGUGUUAAGCUUGUUGCUGAAGGUGACCCAACAACCACCUUUAGGAUUCUGGAUUUGUUGCAGUUGCUCAUAAGGUCUUUGAACUACCCUUUCUUUUGGCUCCUAUUCUUUGAACCAGCAGGAGAUUGCAAAGGACAAGACUACAACUUACUGAUGUGUUCAGAGGGCUGCAAUCUUGUGAAUUCUGUUUCCCGCUGGCAUGAAGAAUGGGACAGAAGAGAAGAGCAGAGUAGCAGUACAACAUGCCAUGACAGUAUCAAACCUCUGUGCCCUGGAUGGUUUGUUUGAUCACCUUUUUAAGGAGCUGCAAUUUUAAUGUUAUUGUGACCCUUUUUCUAGUGAUAUGACUUUCAGGAGGACGAUUUUGACCACUGGAUAAUACUGCAGGUCUUGAAACAAACUUCUGCAGAAGAGAUUGAGCCUGAAUCCUCAAAUGUGCUGCGUGCUCGUUUAUGCUAGCCUUUCACCAACCAAUGAUGGAAGGAAAACAACACUGGAAGAAGUUGUCCAUUCAGUUGGCUAUCGGAGUAGCCACAUGCAGAUGCUGGGCCACUGUGGCAUAGACUGGAGAAUGCCUCGAAGGAUCAAGACCAAAAGUCUCCAACUUGCUAUAGCAUGUGAGAAAAAGCUGUCUGUGUUGCAAUACUCAACGCCUCUACAGUUCAGAAACAUACGCAAAGCCACGAUGAACCUCCUGAGCACUGGGACAAUGCAAUGGCAUCAGAUAAGACAAGAGUCUCCAGGAGAAACUGAAAAGAUAACCAUACUUCAAAUGUGCUUUCCUAUGUGUUGGGGACAGAAGGUCUCUCAUCCGUGA
rnacentral:lncRNA from 1 species